AUACGUAGGAUCCGAGCGUUGUCCGGAUUUACUGGGCGUAAAGGGUGUGUAGGCGGCGCGGUAAGUCUCAUGUGAAAUCUCCCGGCUUAACUGGGAGGGGUCAUGGGAAACUGCCAUGCUCGAGGGCAGUAGAGGAGAGCGGAAUUCCGGGAGUAGCGGUGAUAUGCGUAGAUACCCGGAGGAACACCCGUGGCGAAAGCGGCUCUCUGGACUGUACCUGACGCUAAGGCACGAAAGCGUGGGGAGCAAACCGGAUUAGAAACCCUGGUAGUCC
rnacentral:rRNA from 1 species